AGCGAACGCUGGCGGCAGGCUUAACACAUGCAAGUCGAACGCAUCACUUCGGUGGUGAGUGGCAGACGGGUGAGUAACACGUGGGAACGUACCCUUCGAUCUGGGAUAACUUCGGGAAACUGGAGCUAAUACCGGAUACGCCCUUUUGGGGAAAGGUUUACUGUCGAAGGAUCGGCCCGCGUCUGAUUAGCUAGUUGGUGGGGUAACGGCCUACCAAGGCGACGAUCAGUAGCUGGUCUGAGAGGAUGAUCAGCCACACUGGGACUGAGACACGGCCCAGACUCCUACGGGAGGCAGCAGUGGGGAAUAUUGGACAAUGGGCGCAAGCCUGAUCCAGCCAUGCCGCGUGAGUGAUGAAGGCCUUAGGGUUGUAAAGCUCUUUUGUCCGGGACGAUAAUGACGGUACCGGAAGAAUAAGCCCCGGCUAGCUUCGUG
rnacentral:rRNA from 1 species